GACGAACGCUGGCGGCGUGCCUAACACAUGCAAGUCGAGCGGAGACAUUGGCUUCGGUUAAUGUUUUAGUGGCGAACGGGUGAGUAACGCGUGAGGAACCUACCUUUCAGAGGGGGAUACCAGUUGGAAACGACUGUUAAUACCGCAUAACAUAAAGGGAUCGCAUGAUUUUUUUAUCAAAGAUUUAUCGCUGAAAGAUGAGCUCGCGUCUGAUUAGAUAGUUGGUGAGGUAACGGCUCACCAAGUCGACGAUCAGUAGCCGGACUGAGAGGUUGGACGGCCACAUUGGGACUGAGACACGGCCCAGACUCCUACGGGAGGCAGCAGUGGGGAAUAUUGCACAAUGGGCGCAAGCCUGAUGCAGCGAUGCCGCGUGAGGGAAGAAGGUUUUAGGAUUGGUAAACCUCUGCCUUCAGGGACGAUAAUGACGGUACCUGAGGAGGAAGCUCCGGCUAACUACGUG
rnacentral:rRNA from 1 species